UGGGCAAUUGGAUUCCAAUUAAAGUCUGUUUAUAGUUUUUGGAAAAUAUUUUUUUUUUUCGUUUUACGGCCAGCCAAGCAAAAAGGCUCUAUCCAGAAGAUUAAGCAGCUGGGAUACGAGUAAUCGGCUCCAGUGAGAGAUUCUGGUCGUGAUUUAAAAGCUGGGAAAUAUGGUUCCAACGAGCGAAAUGACGUAGGAUGAUGACAGACACAAGACACAUUUGCGGGAGCAUGUUACUCAAUGAAAGAAAUUUUCAUCAUUUUCAAAUAAAAAGGGUUGAAUGAAACACGUGAAUGAUCUAUUCAGUUCUAGAGGUGAUUUAAGCAAAUUUCAUUUAAUCACGGAGGCAGGCGAAAUAUGGUUUUACAUCAGAGGUGGCAAAUUAAAAAUAUUUUUACAUCCAGUCUCUCCGCAUAAUCCUCUCAUCAAAAGUUACUAGAUUUGAACUUUUGGAAAACCUUGAAAACUACAAGUGACAGCGAUCGUACAUUCACGAAAACCUUAAUCGAAUGGUUGUGUCAAUAUUUAGUCAACGUCGGGAGAAUUCCCGGAAUUUCGAGACUUCAAAUUCAGGCGUAGAUAAUUGCAUUUUUGCUAAUUUCCAACCCUUAUGAAAAGCUUGCAAAUUAUGAAGCGUGUGCCCAGGCAAUUUAAGGAUGGCCGAGAAAGUGUAGCAAAUGAGCGCAUCCGUGUCAUCCGUGUCGAGAGAUUAUCGAUGGUGUUUUUGAGACAGAGACAAGCGGGAAAGACAGUUAAGAUGCGUGCGUAUUGUGCACGAGAGAAGAUCCAAUAUGCACGCCGCUUCCAUGUACUAUCAAGACUCCAGGUCGGCAAAGCUCGCUCCACGUCGAAUAUUAUACAUAUACCACAAUAUUGGAAAGUGUGGCCGGCUCUUGCGGCGUUGUGAUAAUGUUCUCCGGCAAGUCUGAUGGAAGUUCACGUGGAUCCAGAAAUCGAAAGGCGUACCCACAUUACCUUACACAGCGUUAAAAAAGGUAGUUUUUAGAAUGCGCUCGGAGUGUCCUUUCCAUCUGCUUGAUAGGAGAUGUCCAGUUAUUCUCGAACAUGGGAAAACUGGGGCAUACCAGAAAAAUGACGAACUACACACAGUAUGAAAUCCCAAGGAUAGCAGGCUAGAUGACGAACUUGCAGUUGAAGAGCACAGGCGCAUCGUUAUCUGCAUCAUUAGUC